CAAGCGCCGUUAGCUCAGUUGGUAGAGCAGCUGACUCUUAAUCAGCGGGUCCGGGGUUCGAAACCCUGACGGC
rnacentral:tRNA from 1 species